rnacentral:rRNA from 1 species
GACGAACGCUGGCGGCGUGCUUAACACAUGCAAGUCGAACGAUGAAGCCGGAGCUUGCUCUGGUGAAUUAGUGGCGAACGGGUGAGUAACACGUGAGUAACCUGCCCUUGACUCUGGGAUAACUGCGGAAAACUGUAGCUACUACCGGAUACGACCCUCGGAGGCAUCUCCUGGGGGUGGAAAGAAUUUCGGUCAAGGAUGGACUCGCGGCCUAUCAGCUAGUUGGUGAGGUAAAGGCUCACCAAGGCGACGACGGGUAGCCGGCCUGAGAGGGUGACCGGCCACACUGGGACUGAGACACGGCCCAGACUCCUACGGGAGGCAGCAGUGGGGAAUAUUGCACAAUGGGCGCAAGCCUGAUGCAGCAACGCCGCGUGAGGGAUGACGGCCUUCGGGUUGUAAACCUCUUUUAGCAGGGAAGAAGCGAAAGUGACGGUACCUGCAGAAAAAGCACCGGCUAACUACGUGCCAGCCGCCGCAGUAA